CUAGUCUGGACAUCUUGCCGUGCCAAAGUUGCAAUAAAGGGUUCCUAAAUGCCAUAUAUAUACACUUGCUGUGAGCUUACUAAUUGAUUGCGUGUUUUGUGUAGAUUUGGACUUUUAUACUUUUUAUAG